AUUGAACGCUAGCGGCAUGCCUUACACAUGCAAGUCGAACGAGUGGCGGACGGGUGAGUAAUAUAUCGGAACGUGCCCAGUAGCGGGGGAUAACUACUCGAAACAGUUGCUAAUACCGCAUACUCUUGGAGCGGCCGAUAUCGGAUUAGCUAGUUGGUGGGGUAAAGGCUCACCAAGGCAACGAUCAGUAGCUGGUUUGAGAGGACGACCAGCCACACUGGGACUGAGACACGGCCCAGACUCCUACGGGAGGCAGCAGUGGGGAAUAUUGGACAAUGGGGGAAAGCCUGAUCCAGCCAUGCCGCGUGUAUGAGAAGGCCUUCGGGUUGUAAAGUACUUUUAGCAGGGAAGCGGUAUCUGCAGAAUAAGCACCGGCUAACUACGUGCCAGCAGCCGCGGUAAUUC
rnacentral:rRNA from 1 species